rnacentral:rRNA from 1 species
GUCGGGAACUUUAAGGAUACUGCCAGUGACAAACUGGAGGAAGGCGGGGACGACGUCAAGUCAUCAUGGCCCUUACGGCCAGGGCUACACACGUGCUACAAUGGUCGGUACAAAGGGUUGCUACCUAGCGAUAGGAUGCUAAUCUCAAAAAGCCGAUCGUAGUCCGGAUUGGAGUCUGCAACUCGACUCCAUGAAGUCGGAAUCGCUAGUAAUCGCGGAUCAGAAUGCCGCGGUGAAUACGUUCCCGGGCCUUGUACACACCGCCCGUCACACCAUGGGAGUUUGUUGCACCAGAAGUAGCUAGCCUAACUGCAAAGAGGGCG